AUGGUUGUAGAGGCACAUGAGGGUGAACAAUGCAUUCAAUAUCUGGUUGUUGACCUCGAACCACGUGUCCUUGUGCGACUUGGUCCGCAGGACGGCGUUGAGCAUCCCGGUCAUCACCAUGAAGAGGAUGGCGCCAGAGACGCCGACGGCGACGAUCCACACGAAGAGGGCCAUGUUCAUGGGGUUCUUGAUCCACUCCUUGGACUUAUCCCACAGUGGUCCCCACUUGAUCUUCCUCACGAACGGCACCGCUGCCGCCAAGCGUCGCCUUGUUCUGGACUGUCUUCUUCGUGGUGGGCGGGAAGAGUGUUCAUGCUGCUGCUGCUGCUGCUGCUAAGAAGAAGAAGAAGAAGAAGAAGAAGAAGAAGAAGAAGAAGAAGAAGAAGAAGAAGAAGAAGAAGAAGAAGAAGAAGAAGAAGAAGGGGAGCCAUUGUUGGUAUUGUAGUGUCUUUGGUCAGCAGCAGCGCGGAGCAUGUGGUCGGUGGAGUAGCAGGGCGGCGAGCUUGGUGUUUGCAGGUGGUGCUGAAAGGAGUAAUCCUCCUGGCCAUUGGUCUUGUCACCCAGGACUUGUCUUUGAGUUUGUUGGGGUGA
rnacentral:rRNA from 1 species